GGCUGGCGGGAACAUUCACAAGGGCCCAUUGCUUUUAAUGCGAGCCAUCUGCCUCCUCUCCAAAAAACGACUAGCUGAAAGAACGCUCCUCCAGGUCCCUCUAGGGCACGUCGACAGUUUGCACUGGCCUACCUUCCACUGUGCGCGCGACGAACCUUCUCGAAGCCUACCUUCAACGGGCACGCAACGCUGACCUUCGACAGUUCUACCUGCUACAGGCACGCGACGCUGACCUUAACCAGUCCUACCUUCUACUGGCACGCACGGUCAACGGGCGCGCACGCCCACCUUCAGAUCAAUAAGAGAGACGGUCAUGCCAAGCCAGGAACCAAAUUAGAUUCCGUCAAAUCAAUUGUAUUAUUGUGCAUCUAAUUGUUGGGAAGCAACAAUAACAGACCUCCAUCGAAGAAUUAUAUAACUGUCUUCGAAUUUGUCCCAGACUCUGGAAAAUGAGCAUGCACUAUCCUUGUU
ensembl:lncRNA